rnacentral:rRNA from 1 species
CGGGGUGCACCAGGCGCGAAAACUUUACAAUGCUGGAAACAGCGAUAGGGGGACUUUGAGUGCCAGGAUACAAUCUUGGCUGUCGUCGUGCCUAAAAAGCACGGCAUAGCAAGGGCCGGGCAAGACCGGUGCCAGCCGCCGCGGUAACACCGGCGGCUCGAGUGGUAACCGCUAUUAUUGGGUCUAAAGGGUCUGUAGCCGGCUGGAUAAGUCUCUUGGGAAAUCCGACAGCUUAACUGUCGGGCUGUCAGGAGAUACUGUCCGGCUCGAGACCGGGAGAGGUGAGAGGUACUUCAUGGGUAGGGGUGAAAUCUUGUAAUCCUUGAAGGACCACCAGUGGCGAAGGCGUCUCACCAGAACGGAUCUGACGGCAAGGGACGAAAGCUAGGGGCACGAACCGGAUUAGAUACCCGGGUAGUCCUAGCCGUAAACGAUACUCGCUAGGUGUCGGCCACGGUGCGACCGUGGUCGGUGCCGUAGGGAAGCCGUGAAGCGAGCCACCUGGGAAGUACGGCCGCAAGGCUGAAACUUAAAGGAAUUGGCGGGGGAGCACAAGGGCGAAUUCGCGCCGCUAAU